rnacentral:sRNA from 1 species
CCUGAGCAACGAAGUUUUUCUGGGAAAUUAUGCAAACCUCGCAUGGCGAUAACUUAUUACAGUACUCAUUGAUCAAAGACAAACAAUCUCCAACUAGACUGGUUAGACUGCCUCUUCAUCAGAUUCAAGUCUUCGCGAACCGGCUCUCAGCGAAUCCUCAGACAUGCCGGAACUGAUCGAGAUCAGGGUUUGAACUCGAGUGAUGCUCCAUCAAUGAAUCUAUGACUGCAUAAGAACGGUGAGAGAGUUGAGAGAGUUGUCGGCGAACUACGAAGGACCUCUUGGGUCUAUUUCUGGAACAGCAAUGCAAGUUUCGUGACAAUUAGUGGUAAAGUGAUACUUAAUGGGGAUUAUAAUUUAGGGGCGAUUUAGGGCCGAACACUCUCAUUAUACCUAGAACUCAGUUGAUCACACCAAUAUAAUGCCCGACAUAGGGCCCAGCAUUGCAGCCUCCUGUUACAUUAUUUGUUCCUUGAAAUUUGUGUCGUGUGCAAAGGUUUCGUUCCACAGCUCCACAGCAGGAAUCCCCACCGUAAAUACUAGAGAAUAGGAUUCUGUUAGCCACCCGCCACUGGCACAUUUUGGCGAUGCGGUGGCUGGAGCCCUUUACGCAGUAAACUAGAGGUUUGGCCAAACGUUGCUAGGAAGAACAGCCAGUUGCAACCGAUAUUCAGGGGUUUCGUCUCGACCAGGGAAGCCCAGUCGGAAGGUAUUCU